GGACAACCUACCCUGAAGUGAGGGAUAACCCCGGGAAACUGGGGAUAAUACCUCAUAGACUAUGGAUGCUGGAAUGCUCUGUAGUUCAAAGGUCCGCCGCUUCAGGAUGGGUCUGCGGCCGAUUAGGUUGUUGUUGGGGUAACGGCCCAACAAGCCUGUAAUCGGUACGGGUUGUGGGAGCAAGAGCCCGGAGAUGGAUUCUGAGACACGAAUCCAGGCCCUACGGGGCGCAGCAGGCGCGAAAACUUUACAAUGCGAGCAAUCGUGAUAAGGGAACUCCGAGUGCCUGUAAAAUCAGGCUGUCCGCCAGUGUAAAUAACUGGUGAAGAAAGGGCUGGGCAAGACCGGUGCCAGCCGCCGCGGUAAUACCGGCGGCUCGAGUGGUGGCCACUAUUACUGGGCUUAAAGCGUUCGUAGCUGGUCUGUUAAGUCUCUGGGGAAAUCUUCCGGCUCAACCGGAAGGCGUCUCAGGGAUACUGGCAGACUAGGGACCGGAAGAGGUGAGAGGUACUUCAGGGGUAGGAGUGAAAUCCUGUAAUCCUUGAGGGACCACCUGUGGCGAAGGCGUCUCACCAGGACGGCUCCGACAGUGAGGAACGAAAGCUGGGGGAGCAAACCGGAUUAGAUACCCGGGUAGUCCCAGCUGUAAACGAUGCACGUUAGGUGUAUCGGUGACCACGAGUCACCGAGGUGCCGAAGAGAAAUCGUGAAACGUGCCGCCUGGGAAGUACGGUCGCAAGGCUGAAACUUAA
rnacentral:rRNA from 1 species